rnacentral:rRNA from 1 species
ACCACCCCAUUCCACACAACACACCCCAUUCUGACCACAACAUUAUACCAGAUUGUACAGCGCACGUUUCCAACACAUUCAUUUCCAACACAUUCACAUCACCACUAUUGGACAUGGAGGAAAUUGCAGCAAGAAUGCUCCAAGGCUGGAAAAUGCUC